GAGCGCCGGAUGCGUGGAGACAUGCACGUCCGGUGCGGCGGGCGGGCCGGGGAAACGGACCGGGAGCAAUCCCGGC
rnacentral:ncRNA from 1 species